CUGAGGCAGUUGGUGGCUACCUUGUGUUGAAGGCGGAGCUUUCUCUCCAGAGACGCUUGUGGCAGAGUUGCGUGCGCACUGAGUGCAAAGUCAGGAGAGACGCUGCCUGGUUUACUCAUCCAGCACCUAGUGUCAGCAAAAUCUCCAAGCAAGUUACAGGCAAGGGAAGGUGACGAUGCAGCUGGAGCUGGAGACCAGCCCCUCUGAAGAGGUGACCCUCACCGAUCAUUACAUGGUCCUCAGGACCCUGGGCAAAGGCAGCUUUGCUGAGGUGAAGCUGGCCUGCCACCUCCACACCGGGGUUUGGGUUGCUGUCAAGGUCCUGGAAAGGGGUGAGAAGAAUGACUCUGUUAUCAUGACUGAAAUAGACAUCAUUAAGUCACUGGACCAUCCAAAUAUUAUCAAGCUGUUCCAUAUCAUUGAAACCAGAGAGCACACGUACAUGGUGAUGGAGCAUGCUGCUGGGGGAGAUCUGGUGAGCCACAUUGAGAAGGUGGGCUGUCUGCAGGAAGAAGAGACCCACCGCAUCUUCACACAGAUGGUGUGUGCCGUCAACUAUUGCCACGAGAACAGCAUCGCACACAGGGACAUCAAACCGGACAACAUCUUGCUGGAUGGCAAAGGGAGUGUCAAGCUGUGUGACUUUGGCCUGGCCAUCAAAGUCACAUCUGGGCAGAGGUUCAAGGGAUUCUGCGGCACCCUUGAGUAUUGUGCUCCGGAGAUUUUCACUGAUGUGGAAUACGAUGCUCAGGCAAAUGACAUCUGGAGCAUGGGGGUGGUUUUGUACACGAUGGUGACAGGGCGCUUCCCAUUUGAGGCAAAGACCUAUUCCCAGAUGAAGGAGAAGAUGCUGAACCCCAAGUACUCCAUCCCACCUACGCUCUCACCAACCAUUGCAAACCUCAUCAUGCAGUUGCUCACUGUGGACCCAGACCAGAGGCCCAAGACCUGUGACAUUAUGCAGCACCAGUGGCUCAGGGGCAGUGAAGACCUUUCCAAACUGGCAUCUUCCUUGGAGGCAUGCUCCAGCAACCCAGCUCCCAGCAUUGUGGUGGCUAUGUGGGCCAUGGGUUACAAUGCCAAGGACAUCAGAAACUCUUUACGUGAAAAAAAAUUCAAUAACAUCAUGGCAACUUACCUGAUUUUAAAACAUCAGUCACCCUGGGGGGACAGCACUAAGCACCAAAUGAAGCCUGUGCAGCAUGUUGCCAUGACACCCGUAGGCCUGCCCACCUUCCAUCUUCCCCUAAAGAGGACAGGGAGUGAGUCUGCUCUUCACCUCUUCACCCUAACAAGAGAACAUGUAUCUGACAAUGCCAAGCUUUCAAGAAAGAAGGGCUACAAAAGUCCCAGCAUGCCUGACAUCCAGAGCUGCCAGCAGAUACCUCUCUUUCCUGACGCAGAUUCCCAGCAUGCUCCUGUGACUGCUCAGCUCAUGAACAGCAGCUUUUGGGAGGCCAGCAUGACCUCCAAAGGUGUGUCCUUAGGUAACACAUCCUCCGAGGAUAUUUUUUCUGAAAAAUAUUUGUCCUAUAGAGCACCCCAGAUUGUGGUCACCAUGGAGAAUAGCCCACGCACCCAGAACAUGCCAUUUGAAAAGGACUCUGGGGAAGCACCGCAGAGUGGGGCCGCCAGUGGCACACAUGAGAAUAACAGGCAUGGGUCCCAUCGCGAAACAGCUGGAGAAAAAUUCUCAGGUGCCCAAGCGCAGAGUGCAAAGACAGCCUCUUCGCACAGUCUACACCAAGGCUGGAAGAGGAUUAAGAGGAGGAUGGGGAACCGUGUGCGGAGGCUGUGCUGUUGCCUGCCAGCCCAACAAACAAGCCAGGUUUUCCAGAAGAAAGUGACUCCAGUGGAGGGGGAAGGGAACAGAGCCACACAAAACGAGGUUUCCGGACCCCAAGAGAUAGUUUUUCACAUGGGGGAAGAGGAACCCGUGAUCCUAGGUUGAUAGAUGGCCCUGAUGGGGCUGUUCCUGGAGCUGGUGACUUACUGCCUAGUCUCUGGGACUGGUGGCUUUCUUUUUGAAAUCAGGCCUGAUCCUAAAAUGGAGACAAAUGUCAUGUCACCAGUGGCCAUCAACUCCAUCUUCUUUGGAUUUCAUGAACACAGCUGUUCCAUGUGCUCCGUUGUGGAAGAUUGUUUUCAGGGCAACACAACCUGCCCAGCUGCACAAGUGUGAGGUCACCCACACCUGUCUGACCUCACAGACCAGAAAACCUGCCUGA